UAGGGAAUCUUCCACAAUGGACGAAAGUCUGAUGGAGCAACGCCGCGUGAGUGAAGAAGGGUUUCGGCUCGUAAAACUCUGUUGUUAAAGAAGAACAUAUCUGAGAGUAACUGUUCAUACGUUGACGGUAUUUAACCAGAAAGUCACGGCUAACUACGUCCCAG
rnacentral:rRNA from 1 species